CCUACGGGAGGCUGCAGUAGGGAAUCUUCCACAAUGGGCGAAAGCCUGAUGGAGCAACGCCGCGUGGGUGAAGAAGGUCUUCGGAUCGUAAAACCCUGUUGUUAGAGAAGAAAGUGCGUGAGAGUAACUGUUCACGUUUCGACGGUAUCUAACCAGAAAGCCACGGCUAACUACGUGCCAGCAGCCGCGGUAAUACGUAGGUGGCAAGCGUUAUCCGGAUUUAUUGGGCGUAAAGGGAACGCAGGCGGUCUUUUAAGUCUGAUGUGAAAGCCUUCGGCUUAACCGGAGUAGUGCAUUGGAAACUGGGAGACUGGAGUGCAGAAGAGGAGAGUGGAACUCCAUGUGUAGCGGUGAAAUGCGUAGAUAUAUGGAAGAACACCAGUGGCGAAAGCGGCUCUCUGGUCUGUAACUGACGCUGAGGUUCGAAAGCGUGGGUAGCAAACAGGAUUAGAUACCCUGGUAGUC
rnacentral:rRNA from 1 species